GUGCCAGCAGCCGCGGUAAUACGGAGGGUGCAAGCGUUAUUCGGAAUUACUGGGCGUAAAGCGCGUGCAGGCGGGUAUGCAAGUCUGAUGUGAAAGCCCCGGGCUCAACCUGGGAAGUGCAUUGGAAACUGCAUAUCUUGAGUGUUGGAGAGGAAGGGGGAAUUCCCGGUGUAGAGGUGAAAUUCGUAGAGAUCGGGAGGAAUACCAGUGGCGAAGGCGCCCUUCUGGACGACAACUGACGCUGAGACGCGAAAGCGUGGGGAGCAAACAGGAUUAGAUACCCGUGUAGUCC
rnacentral:rRNA from 1 species